UAGCAUUUGCUGCGACUCUCCGGCAGCUGAAUGAACUUUCGGUUCAGAGAGAAGAACUUGCUGAAAACCUGAACUCACAGAUCGUAUGUGAGCUGACACGAUACACACAGGAACUGAAGACUGAGAGGAAGACUCAUUUUCAAGAUGGCCGCCGUGCCCAACAGCACAUUGAGGGCUCCUGGAAACAACUGGAGUCUAGUAAACGUCGGUUUGAGCGUGACUGUAAGGAGGCGGAGCGAGCUCAACACGUCUCUGACAGAAUUGACCUUGACAACAAAACGGAUGGA